rnacentral:rRNA from 1 species
AGAGUUUGAUCAUGGCUCAGAACGAACGCUGGCGGCGUGCUUAACACAUGCAAGUCGAACGCGAAAGUUUUCUUCGGAAAGCGAGUAGAGUGGCGCACGGGUGAGUAACGCGUAAGUAAUCUACCCUGGUAUCUGGGAUAACCCACCGAAAGGUGUGCUAAUACCGGAUACGCUGAUUUAUCAGGAAAGAUGGCCUCUUCAUGAAAGCUAUCGUACCAGGAGGAGCUUGCGUACCAUUAGCUAGUUGGUAGGGUAAUGGCCUACCAAGGCGACGAUGGUUAGCGGGUCUGAGAGGAUGAUCCGCCACACUGGAACUGAAACACGGACCAGACUCCUACGGGAGGCAGCAGUGAGGAAUAUUGCGCAAUGGGGGAAACCCUGACGCAGCGACGCCGCGUGGAUGAUGAAGGCCUUCGGGUCGUAAAAUCCUGUCAGAUGGAAAGAAGUGUAUAUUGCCUAAUACGUGAUAUAUUUGACGGUACCAUCAAAGGAAGCACCGGCUAACUCCGUGCCAGCAGCCGCGGUAAUACGGAGGGUGCAAGCGUUGUUCGGAAUUACUGGGCGUAAAGCGCGCGUAGGCGGCUUUUUAAGUCAGAUGUGAAAGUCCACGGCUCAACCGUGGAAGUGCAUUUGAAACUGGGAGGCUUGAGUACUGGAGGGGGGUGGUGGAAUUCCCGGUGUAGAGGUGAAAUUCGUAGAUAUCGGGAGGAAUACCGGUGGCGAAGGCGACCACCUGGCCAGAUACUGACGCUGAGGUGCGAAAGCGUGGGGAGCAAACAGGAUUAGAUACCCUAGUAGUCC